UCCCUGGAGGACUAGUGGUUAGGCCACAGCGCUCUCACCGCUGUGGCCCGGGUUCGAUUCCCAGCCAGGGAA
rnacentral:tRNA from 1 species